GACGAACGCUGGCGGCGUGCCUAAUACAUGCAAGUAGGACGCACAGUUUAUACCGUAGCUUGCUACACCAUAGACUGUGAGUUGCGAACGGGUGAGUAACGCGUAGGUAACCUACCUAUUAGAGGGGGAUAACUAUUGGAAACGAUAGCUAAUACCGCAUAACAGUAUGUAACACAUGUUAGAUGCUUGAAAGAUGCAAUUGCAUCGCUAGUAGAUGGACCUGCGUUGUAUUAGCUAGUAGGUAGGGUAAAGGCCUACCUAGGCAACGAUACAUAGCCGACCUGAGAGGGUGAUCGGCCACACUGGGACUGAGACACGGCCCAGACUCCUACGGGAGGCAGCAGUAGGGAAUCUUCGGCAAUGGGGGGAACCCUGACCGAGCAACGCCGCGUGAGUGAAGAAGGUUUUCGGAUCGUAAAGCUCUGUUGUUAAGGAAGAACGAGUGUGAGAAUGGAAGGUCCAUGCUGUGACG
rnacentral:rRNA from 1 species